rnacentral:tRNA from 1 species
GGAGAGAUGGCUGAGUGGUCUAAAGCGCACGCUUGGAAAGCGUGUUUACUCGAAAGAGUAACGGGGGUUCGAAUCCCCCUCUCUCCGCCA